rnacentral:rRNA from 1 species
AUACGGAAGGUCCGGGCGUUAUCCGGAUUUAUUGGGUUUAAAGGGAGCGCAGGCGGGAGAUUAAGCGUGACGUGAAAUGUAGCCGCCCAACGGCUGAUGUGCGUCGCGAACUGGUUUUCUUGAGUUCACGGAAGGCGUGCGGAAUUCGUGGUGUAGCGGUGAAAUGCUUAGAUAUCACGAAGAACUCCGAUUGCGAAGGCAGCUCGCCGUAGUGUUACUGACGCUGAGGCUCGAAGGUGCGGGUAUCGAACAGGAUUAGAUACCCUGGUAGUCCGCACGGUAAACGAUGGACGCCCGCUGUGUGCCAGUAUGGUAUGCGGCCAAGCGAAAGCGUUAAGCGUCCCACCUGGGGAGUAAGCCGGCAACGGUGAAACUCAAAUGAAUUGACGGGG